AAAAAAGGAAAGGCUGUCUGCAAACAGGUACAUCCCAGCCUUCUUGCACAUAGAAACACUACACAGCACUUCAGCUGUAUGUUUGGGGGCCAUUUUAAACAGCAAAAUCAUCAACAGGAAGCAGAAAAUUGUAAAAAUUGUGGCACUAAAUAGACCAUGUAAAGGACACAUGUUUGCAAUAAGAAAGCUGAAACAAGAAGGGGGAGUGUCACCUUAUUUGAUCCAGCUAGAAACUCAGGUGCUGGUAUUCCAGCAACACUCAGGCGGCUGCUCCAGGAGGCUGCAGAGGGGUCCUUUUUAGCCGUCAACAAAACUGGCUAUGGUCACGCCCAUUGGGAAACUCAUUGCUGCCUUCAAGGACUCAGAAGCUGUAGGAAUAUUCAGGCACAGACACCAGACCCAGCUUCAUCUCUAACUUGUGGCAAAGGACAGUACAUCCUGGGAUGGGACCCUAUGCUCCCCUAUGCCAUUUAGACAGAGCCUGGGGAGAGUGACUUCCCAGGGUAUCCAUGUUGGAAUCUCUCAUUUGAUUCUUAUUCAAAUUUAGGUUCUGUCAAUAGAAGAUACUAAAGAAAGAAAGCCAGGAGAAGAAAAGGGACUUCUUUCUUCAAGGUCUAAGCUGUUCUAAUAGCAUUAUUCUGGGAAUGGCAUCUUCCACUCCUCCUAGUACAAAGAACCUGCUUCCUCAUACCCCGUCAAGGAACUGCAGCAUCCAGAAUACAUUCAUACCUAACACCUCAAUAGAUGACAUGUUAUCCAUGGAAUCGAGUUCAAAGCCCUCUGUAACGUGGCUAUAUCCCAUCUACUCUGAGCUGAUGUUCAGCAGGUGAUGGCCACAGUGGCAGAACCUAGGAAGCCAAGAAGAAACCAGAGAAUGGAGACACAUGGCAGCAAUGGCAAGUCAUCAGACCCAGGAUUUCCCAAAGAACACUGGUCCAGGAAGAUGCUCUGUGAAAAAGUGUUCCCUGGUCGGAGAAAUUUGUGAAACACUUUGCAUAAUACUUAAAAGAAUGUAUGGCACAUCAAAGGUAAUAUGCAAUAAAAGAAUUCAUUUUUUUAAAACCAA
ensembl:lncRNA LINC01905 long intergenic non-protein coding RNA 1905